rnacentral:rRNA from 1 species
GACGAACGCUGGCGGCGUGCUUAACACAUGCAAGUCGAACGGAAAGACCCUGCUUGUGUGGGGUGCUCGAGUGGCGAACGGGUGUGUAACACGUGAGUAUCCUGCCCUUUACUUUGGGAUAACUUCAGGAAACUGCUGCUAAUACCGGAUAGGAGCUCCUGCUGCAUGGUGGGGGUUGGAAAGUUUCGGCUGUUGGGGAUGGACGCGCGGGUUAUCAGCUUGUUGGUGGGAUAGUGGCUUACCAGGGGUUUGACGGGUAGCCUGCCUGAGAGGGUGAACGGCCACAAUGGUCCUGCGAUACGGCGCAGAGUCCAAUGGUAGGCAGCAGGGGGGAAUAUUGCACAAUGGGCGGAAGCCUGAGGCAGCAACGCUGCGAGCGUGAUGCCGGCCUUCGGGUUGUAAACCGCUUUAGCCUGUGACGAAGCGUGAGUGACGGUACUGGGUAAAGAAGCACCGGCUAACUACGUG